CAGAGAACUGAAAACUGGAGCUGCCGGAAAACUGGAACACUGUAUCGCCGGAAAAAGUAAUGUAGCUGCCGGAAAAAUUCAAAGUUGUCGGAAUUGAAAAAUAAAAAUAUGGAUAGGUUCGGAAUUCAAGGGUGAGCAGACUGUCCUGAAGAAAUUCUAGCCGGAAAGUACUGUAGCUGCCGGAAAAGUCAAUAAAGUCGCCGGAAAAAACUCAAAGUUGUC
rnacentral:lncRNA from 1 species